UCGGGUGGAUUUGGAAUCUCUAGUUAGCGGCAAACGGGUGAGUAACACGUGGGAAUCUACCUUUUAGUAUGGAAUAGCCCUGGGAAACUGGGAUUAAUACCGUAUACGCCCUUCGGGGGAAAGAUUUAUCGCUAAAAGAUGAGCCCGCGCGAGAUUAGCUAGUUGGUAAGGUAAUGGCUUACCAAGGCUACGAUCUUUAGCUGGUCUGAGAGGAUGAUC
rnacentral:rRNA from 1 species